rnacentral:rRNA from 1 species
GGACAAUGGGCGCAAGCCUGAUCCAGCAAUGCCGCGUGAGUGAUGAAGGCCUUAGGGUUGUAAAGCUCUUUCACCCACGACGAUGAUGACGGUAGUGGGAGAAGAAGCCCCGGCUAACUUCGUGCCAGCAGCCGCGGUAAUACGAAGGGGGCUAGCGUUGUUCGGAAUGACUGGGCGUAAAGGGCGCGUAGGCGGUUGACCAAGUUGGGGGUGAAAGCCCGGGGCUUAACCUCGGAAUUGCCUCCAAAACUGGUCGGCUUGAGUGUGGAAGAGGGUUGUGGAAUUCCCAGUGUAGAGGUGAAAUUCGUAGAUAUUGGGAAGAACACCAGUGGCGAAGGCGACAACCUGGUCCAUUACUGACGCUGAGGCGCGACAGCGUGGGGAGCAAACAGGAUUAGAUACCCUGGUAGUCCACGCCGUAAACGAUGAGUGCUGGAUGUUGGACGGUUGCCGUUCAGUGUCGAAGUUAACGCGAUAAGCACUCCGCCUGG